rfam:Schistosoma mansoni strain Puerto Rico chromosome 2, complete genome
AUCCAGCUGACGAGUCCCAAGUAGGACGAGACGGGCAUCCUGGAU